rnacentral:rRNA from 1 species
CCUACGGGUGGCAGCAGUAGGGAAUAUUGCACAAUGGGGGGAACCCUGAUGCAGCAACGCCGCGUGAAGGAAGACGGUUUUCGGAUUGUAAACUUCUAUCAAUAGGGAAGAAAGAAAUGACGGUACCUAAAUAAGAAGCCCCGGCUAACUACGUGCCAGCAGCCGCGGUAAUACGGAGGGGGCAAGCGUUAUCCGGAAUUACUGGGUGUAAAGGGAGAAUAGGCGGCAAGGUAAGCGAUAUGUGAAAGCCUUAGGCUUAACCUGAGGAUUGCAUAACGAACUAUCUAGCUUGAGUACAGGAGAGGAAAGCGGAAGUCCGAGUGUAGCGGUGAAAUGCAUAGAUAGCGCGCAGAACUCCGAUUGCGAAGGCAGCAUGCCGGCUCCACACUGACGCUGAGGCACGAAAGCGUGGGUAUCGAACAGGAUUAGAUACACUUGUAGUC